CUUUGCAACGCCCACCGCACGCCCGCACCUUCCAGUCGGCGAGCUGCGCGUGCGCAGCGUGAGGGUGAAGUCGCGCCAGGUGCUCGCGCGCCAACGGUCGGCGGAAAGAGCCCCUCCUCCUCCUCCUGAGAGUCCUCAAAAUCUGGAGUGGAUUUUGUACUUGCAGCACAUAUCAGUUUGGAUUAGUCACAUUUCAAGUACUCACGUGGCUAUGUGAAGAUCUAGGAAAUGCCUUUCCUAUAAGUUACCUGGGAGGCCAAGUUAAUCAGAAGACUCUCUGGGGAAAGCAGGAACACAGUCCCCCACUACCACAAAUCAUGCACUAGAGUUUCCCGCAUUUGGGGAAAUCGCAGGGGUCAGCACAUCCGGAGUACAAUGGAUAAGCCUCG